CGACCUACGGGACGCAGCAGUGGGGAAUAUUGGGCAAUGGGCGCAAGCCUGACCCAGCAACGCCGCGUGAAGGAAGAAGGCUUUCGGGUUGUAAACUUCUUUUAAGAGGGAAGAGCAGGAGACGGUACCUCUUGAAUAAGCCACGGCUAACUACGUGCCAGCAGCCGCGGUAAUACGUAGGUGGCAAGCGUUGUCCGGAUUUACUGGGUGUAAAGGGCGUGUAGGCGGGAUGGUAAGUCAGAUGUGAAAACUAUGGGCUCAACCCAUAGCCUGCAUUUGAAACUAUCGUUCUUGAGUGUUGGAGA
rnacentral:rRNA from 1 species